rnacentral:rRNA from 1 species
GAGCUGGCCAAGUGGUUCAGCCGCAAGGUAAGCACUGCUCCGAUCGGGUCUUUCCUUCUGGGGAACCAGCGUGCUCUUAAUUGGGUGCGCUGGGGAUCCAGGACUUUUACUUUGAAAAAAUUAGAGUGUUUAAAGCAGGCCUACGCUUGAAUACAUUAGCAUGGAAUAAUAGAAUAGGAC